GGAUCAAUUAAUUGGUCGUGCCUAUGGUACGUACUGAUUUUAUUGGUUUCUCCCUUCUGACGAACCAUGAUGUCAUUAAUUUGGUGUCGUGGAGAAUCAGGACUGUUACUUUGAAAAAUUAGAGUGUUUAAAGCAGGCUAACGCUUGAAUACAUUAGCAUGGAAUAAUGAAAUAGGACGUUUGAUCCUAUUUUGUUGGUUUCUAGGAUCGACGUAAUGAUUA
rnacentral:rRNA from 1 species